rnacentral:rRNA from 1 species
UGAGGGAUCUUCGGCAAUGGGGGCAACCCUGACCGAGCAACGCCGCGUGCGGGAGGACGCCUUUCGGGGUGUAAACCGCUUUUCUGGGGGACGAGGAAUAAGUACGGACGGUACCCCAGGAAGAAGUCUCGGCUAACUACGCGCCAGCAGCCGCGGUAAUACGUAGGAGACGAGCGUUGUCCGGAGUUACUGGGCGUAAAGGGUGCGCAGGUGGCGGCGCGCGUGGGGGGUGAAAUCGCCCGGCUUAACUGGGCGGGGGCCUUCCAGACGGCGUGGCUUGAGCAGCGGAGGGGGACGUGGAAUUCCGGGUGGAGCGGUGAAAUGCGUAGAGAUCCGGAGGAACACCGACGGCGCAGGCAGCGUCCUGGCCGCUUGCUGACACUGAGGCACGAAAGCUGGGGGAGCAAACAGGAUUAGAUACCCUGGUAGUCCCAGCCGUAAACGAUGUCCACCAGGUGCUGGGCGGAUCGACCCGUUCAGUGCCGCAGCUUACGUGAUGAGUGGACCG